CAACAGACAGGGGAAUCCGCCGCGUCAGGCUUCUUGCUUGAUUAGCGUGUGUUAAGUCAAUAUCGGGAAAGCGUCCAGCCCCGGAACUAGACUCGGGGAAGAACCAAUCGGUACAGUAAGAGCUGUAUCAUAUGCUUUCCUAAAUCUGAGGCUGUCACGCGCCAGAGGAGUUCCCGGGUUGAAUAGUGGCUUGAGGACUUUCAGUUUCUUCAGUCGAGAGCUGCUCCUGAAAGAGUGUUUGCCGAAAAGGAGAAUCAGUUAAGAGCAAGAUCAGUAGAUCCCAGACUGAAGUUUCGCUGCAUCGGCCAAAGAAGGAGCCUUAAACGAAGGCUGGCAACCCGCGCAUUGAGGGGAGAGAAAACUUUAAUAUCUGAUACCAGACCGGAAUGCCAGCUAGAGAAGAAAGAGAGUCCCGACCUCCCUUAAUGGAAUUGAGUUAGAAUAAAUCGACUUGAAAUGCCCUUCUCAAAGCUGUUUGUCCUAAGGUUCGAAGAGCGGAGUUGCAAG
rnacentral:misc_RNA from 1 species